rnacentral:rRNA from 1 species
CCUUCUGUUCAAAGGAAGAACGGCAUCUGAAACUGCAGAUCUUGAGUGUAGGAGGGGAGAGUGGAACUUCUGGUGGAGCGGUGAAAUGCGUAGAUAUCAGAAGGAACGUCGGCGGCGAAAGCGACUCUCUGGCCUAUUACUGACACUGAGUGUGCGAAAGUUAGGGGAGCAAACGGGAUUAGAUACCCCGGUAGUCCUAACUGUAAACGAU